UCUACGAUCUAUGUUCUCCGUCCAAGAGAAGAAGUCACCAACACGUGGACGAGGACCCCAGCUAGGGUCCUGUCCGUUGUAGCUACUAACAAGCGUAGUUAGCCUGGUGGUCAACCACCAGAGGUUAUAACCCCUUUGUGUUACGUGUUGGUGUUAAUAAAUAUGUGUUGCCUCCAAGAAAGGGAGCAGCAAUCGGUUUCAUCGACAGAGACAACCAGGAUGUCUCGAGUCUGGACUUGAAUCGGGGGCAGGGAGUUGAGAGCACGAACGGCUGAGGGGGGAUGGGAGAUCCGCACUCUGGGAGCAGCACACAGUCAUCUGUGUGCUGUUAUUGGCACUAAUGUGCAGUGUUAAUACGGCAGCGACAUUUGGUACACAUUUACCACAUAUAAUCGAUCAAGUACCUGAGAAGAUGUUUACAUGUCCCAGGGCGUUCACUCCCCAAGAGGGGAGCGGUGGCACGGUGGUUAGCUCACUUUUCUAAGAACCCGGUAACCUGAGUUUGAAUCUUAGCUAUGGCUAGCAUUAUUGGCGAGUGAUAUCUCAACCAGUCCUAGCCCUCCCUUCGUCAACCCUCACUGACCAUUGUGGUGAGAUAUAGUACAUACGAAAUCCCAACAACUCGGCAUGUCGAGGUCUUCAUCCAGCAUCGGAGUGACAAGCUGCAAAUGAUUAUCCUUGAAUUAUAAACAGACAUGUAACCUCAAUGUGUGAUGGCCAGUUGGGCUUCGGUUGAAUGGUGAAGGUGUAGAGGCCACUGAGUACAUUCUAAUAAAACCACAGGAGGCCAUAUCUGGCACGAUGCUUGCAACAGGAAAUAAGGCUUUGUCAGGUACCCUUGAAACGUGAGCAGUCCUGUUUAUUGAGUACUCCCAAUUUCGUUUGUGAUAUCAGACUGACUACCACGAGUAAUACCUGAGAUCCAUUCGGUAUUGUCAAAAUCCAAAUGUUUGAAACCAUGCUGGAACAACAAUUAAAAUUGCGAUGAUUAUCAAUAUGCGGAAUGUCAAUUUAGAUAUUAUACAUGUGUAGUGUCGUAGGCUUCUGUGUGUGUGCAGGUGGCGUGCGGCGCACACAAACUCAGUUGGAAGCGAGGUAGUCGCAGGGGCCA